UUCUAAGGGCCCUGACAACUUGAAUUACUGUCUUUCCCUACUUGCCUGCUUGCGACUGAGCUUACAAGGAAAUGACUUUAAACAAUGUCACACCUCUUUACCCACAGACACAGUUUACAGGACCUCAUUCGCACUCCAAUGACAAUGAAAGGAAGGGGGUGUUGGGCAGAGAAGCAAAGAGCUCCGGUUCUCACCAUCACAUGGUAGCGGGUGUAAGUUUGUUCCCAACAUACCAGACAGAGAGCAACUCUCACCAGAGAAGAUCCCAAUGUGUUUUAUGCUAGAUCUGACUUUAAUUAAGUGUAGACAAUGCUCCCAUCAGUGCUGGAACUGGCCCCGGUAACUUGCUUUAGCUGAUGGAAUGUUACCAAACACAACAUGAUCAAAGGCUUGAGAGAUGAUUUCCCUCCUGUGCUUCCGCAAUUACCAUGAAAAGAACAUGGCCUGGUGGUCCCUGAUCCCCAAAGAAUGACGGACACCUGGAAAAAGCUUGGAGUAACAGAUUCAUGAGCAAGAAUAAAUAAUUAUUGUUUUAA